rnacentral:rRNA from 1 species
AUUGAACGCUGGCGGCAGGCCUAACACAUGCAAGUCGAGCGGAGCGGCGGACGGGUGAGUAAUGCCUAGGAAUCUGCAUGGUAGUGGGGGAUAACGUGCGGAAACGGGCGCUAAUACCGCAUACUAUCAGAAGAGCCUAGGUCGGAUUAGCUAGGUGGUGGGGUAAAGGCCUACCAAGGCGACGAGCCGUAACUGGUCUGAGAGGAUGAUCAGUCACCAGGGAACUGCGACACGGUCCAGACUCCUAAGGGUGGCAGCAGUGGGGAAUAUUGGACAAUGGGCGAAAGCCUGAUCCAGCCAUGCCGCGUGUUUGAAGAAGGUCUUCGGAUUGUACAGCACCUUAAGUUGGGAGGCGUUACCAACAGAAUAAGCACCGGCUAACUUCGUGCCAGCCGCCGCGGUAAUUC